rnacentral:lncRNA from 1 species
ACUCAGAGUUUGAUACAUGCUUCUCAAUGGUUCCUCCUUCCGGUUCUAGUUCAGCGAAGUAUGAGUCACGUGAUCAUCCACCAGCUGAGAGGAUCUGUGGGUUAUAUGAGACAAUCCCCUUCCGCCCCAAACAGGAACAUCUACAUCUCCAUUUAUGCCGUGUGCACGCAGUACCAACAGAGGUCAGAGGAGGGUGUCGGAUCCCCUGGAACUGGAGUCACAGAUUCUUCCUUGCGUGGAUGAAACAGUCCCAACGAACACUUUAAAAAGACAAAUGUUCCCGACAGCACUGGUUGAAUUCAAAACUCGGCAGAUCCAUGUUCUUAUCCUUAGACAAGAGAGGGGCCAUAACAAGAUGGAAUGACGGAACAGACGUGAGAGAUGAUGGUACAGUGACUCGGGUAACCCCAGAAAAGGGACAGCUCUUCUACAGCUCAGUGGGGACAGGGACAAAAAGAAACAAUUUCAUUUCAGUCCACCCAGAGGGUCUGCACUUCUCGGAGCCAGAAGGUGGAGAAGAGUAGGGAUGGAGGAAGUUCGAAGUUUUAGGAGUCUGCUCUUGGGUCCCUAGGCAUGAGGACAAGCUUUUCCUGUACUCAAUGCUCAUCUCUCAGUUGUGCCCACAUUGGUACACAUUACUUGCUUUCAACUGCUGCUGCUGCUGUUUCCUAAUUCAAUAAAGAUAUGGCUGGCUCAGCAGAGAGCUGUCAUCCA